rnacentral:rRNA from 1 species
AGCAGUAGCCACGGUAACACGGAGGGUGCAAGCGUUAAUCGGAAUUACUGGGCGUAAAGCGCACGCAGGCGGUUUGUUAAGUCAGAUGUGAAAUCCCCGGGCUCAACCUGGGAACUGCAUUUGAAACUGGCAAGCUAGAGUCUCGUAGAGGGGGGUAGAAUUCCAGGUGUAGCGGUGAAAUGCGUAGAGAUCUGGAGGAAUACCGGUGGCGAAGGCGGCCCCCUGGACGAAGACUGACGCUCAGGUGCGAAAGCGUGGGGAGCAAACAGGAUUAGAUACCCCUGUAGUCCCUGUCUCUUAUAC